GGGCUAUAGAGCGACAGAAGUCCGCUGCGAUGAAAUGUGGAGCUUAAAAAACUAUUACCAUGAAUCAGAAUUUCCUUAUAUUUUUCUUCUGCUUAACAUGGACUGGCUUUAGACAGAGAUAGAAUGUCUUUGUAUCAGGUAAUUAAUAUCAGCAUGAGAUGGAAUUCAUUACAUACAGUGUGUUAAAUAAAUGAAAUGUGGUUACUGAUUGAAUAUUGGUCAAUGAUACAGUAUGCUUAUUGAUAAGUGAUGCAGUUAGUAAUUAUUUUUUAAUAUGUUGGUGCAGGAGGUCACGUGAGUCCUGAGGGUUCAGAGUGUUUAAUCUGCUGUAAUCAGACUCAAAUAUCAUGCCCAGAGGGAACCUACUUUUCAUCAGGGAUUUGUCUUGAGUGUCCUGCAGGGCAAUUCCUUGCAUUUCAGCUGUCCUGGUAAUGUGUCUGCACCCAGAAAAUGCCCCACUGGCAUGUUUAACAUUUACUGUACAGUGGAAAAAAGCAGUAUCCAGGGGACUGUGCUAUCUGUCCUGCAGGUUUUUAUUGUUUGGAGGGCAUCUCUCGGAGGCCAAGCUCUCAGUUUCUGUGCCCACAAGGGUAUUACUGUGAGGAAGGCACGGGUGUGCCGCACGGGUCACCUUGCCCUGCUGGAACUGCAGGAGGACAACUGGGUCAGACAAGUAGGGCAGCUUGCAAGAGGUGUGCAGAGGGUCGCUUCUGUCCCGCAGGUUCUGCUGGUCCUGGGUUGCUUUGUGCCCAUGGGAGGUACUGUCCAGCAGGCACACUCAGUGAAAUCUUAUGCCCACAAGGGACCUUCACCCCACAUCAGGGGGCACUGAGUAAGAUUUCAUUCCUAAAACCAUCAUGGUCAUUAAAGGACAAUCAUAUAAAUCUACCAUUGUGUUGAUAUUUGUGUCUAUUUUCAUCGUAGGUGUAAAGGACUGUUUAAAGUGUCCACCAGGCUUCUAUUGUGCAGAAGGAACCAGUGACCCAAUGCCUUGUCAACCAGGCACCUUUAACCCUGGAGCUGGCAGACUGCAGGCCUUGUGACCCGGGCAAAGCAUGCACACAAGUUGCACUAAAGUUUCCUGAUGUGGAUUUUAUGCCUUUUGCACAUGAGAAGUUUUUUUUUAAACCAUCAGACUGGUCCAUUUAGUUGGUUUUAGAAGUUUGGGCAUUUGACAAUCUAGCUGAAGUCACAAUACAUCCAUUUUCUAACCAAUAAUUGUAUUUUUUUGUUUGUUUUUUUCAGGUUUGUGUGUCCACCAGGUUCUGCCCGACCAAAUGACCCAUCCAACGCUUGCCCUCCCGGUACCUUUAGUAACCGUACAGACCUCACUGACCUCUCCCAGUGCCAGCAGUGUCCCACACAUUAUGCCUGUCUUCGAGGUGUCAUACUACCUUCAGAGUUGAAUGCCAUGUACUUACUUGUAUUCAAUUACUAUUUAACAAUUUCUGCUUUUACAGGCACUGGUGGCAUCCAGAGGCCUCCACUUCUUUGCUUUCCUGGGCAUUACUGUCCUGUGGGCACUAUGUUUCCCACUCAGCACAAGUGUCCAGCUGGUACCUGGAGCGAUCGCAGUGGACAGGAGUCAGAGCGUGAGUGCCAGCCGUGCCCGAGAGGCUGGUACUGUUUAGCAGGAGUGGGCGCUCCCUCUGGGAGAUACAACUCUGGACACUACUGUCCUGAAGGUACUAAAGCUGUGUGAAACAUUUGAAUGCUUUAUCCGCCUUGAAGAAAAACAGGCAUUUGAAAUCUGGCCUAACAUCAGUUUAGUGCCAUAUUGAUAUACUUUAUGAUGGACACAUUGCAAAGUCAUGCAAAUAAUCAUUAUUGAU
ensembl:lncRNA